UACGUAGGCAGCAAGCGUUGUUCGGAGUUACUGGGCGUAAAGGGUGCGUAGGCGGCUUUUUAAGUUUGGUGUGAAAUCUCCCGGCUCAACUGGGAGGGUGCGCCGAAUACUGAGAGGCUAGAGUGUGGGAGAGGAAAGUGGAAUUCCUGGUGUAGCGGUGAAAUGCGUAGAUAUCGGGAGGAACACCAGUGGCGAAGGCGACUACCUGGCCUGUUCUUGACGCUGAGGCGCGAAAGCUAGGGGAGCAAACGGG
rnacentral:rRNA from 1 species